rnacentral:lncRNA from 1 species
CAGACGGAGUCUCUCUUUUGCCCAGGCUGCACAGCAGUGGCACUAUCUCGGCUUACUGCAAGCUCCACCUCCCGGGUUCAUGCCAUUCUCCUACCUCAGCCUCCUGAGUAACUGGGACUACAGGUGCCCACCACCACGCCUGCCUAAUUUUUUUUUUUUUUUUGUAUUUUUAAUAGAGACAGGGUUUCACCGUGUUAGCCAGGAUAGUCUCGGUCUCCUCAUCUCGUGAUCCGACCGCCUCGGCCUCCCAAAGUGCUGGGAUUACAGGCUUGAGCCACCGUGCCCAGCCGCCAACUCCAGGUAUUCUAACAAGAGAGACUCUUAGAUCACCCCAGGCGUUCUAAUGAUAAGGACAGUUGGGAAACUUCAGGCCUUUUAAGGAUAGAGACACCUGGCUGACCCAAAACAUUCUAACAGGAGAGACUCUUAUACAAAAUUAGGCAUUCUAAUGAGAGAGAGUAAUGGCUGACCCCAGGCAUUCUACAGAUAGAGAAACCACGGAGACAUCAGGAAUUCUAAGGAUAAAGACAGGUGGGUGAUCCCAGGCAUUCUAAUGGCAGAGACUCCUUGUUAAGCCCAGGCAUUCUAAUGAUAGGGACUCCUGGCCUACCUUAGGCAUUCUAAUGAUAGAGACACCUGUGUGACCUAAGGCAUUUUUAAGGACAGAGACACCUGGCCAACCCCAGGCAUUCUAAUGGGAGAGACUUCUGGAGGACCUCAAGUAAUCUAACAAAGGAGACUACUGGCUGACCCAAGGCCUUCUAAUCAUAGAGAAUCCUGGCCAAUCCCAGGCAUUCUAAUGAUAGAGACACCUGUGGGACAUAAGUCAUUCUAAAAAUAGAGACAUCUGGCUGACCUCAGGCAUUCUAAUGAUAGAGGCUCCUGGCCAAAACAAGGCAAUCUAAUGAUAGAGAUUUCCGGCCUAUCCCAGGCAUUCUACUGACAAAGACACUGGUGUGACUUCAAUCAUUCUAAAAGGAGAGACAGCUGGUUGACCCACCUUUGGCCAACUCCAUGCAUUACAGUGAUAGAGAAUCCUGGGUGUCAUCAGACAUUCUAAAGAUAGAGACACCUGGCCAAGCCAAGGUAUUCUAUGGGAGAGACUCCUGGUGGACCCAAGGCAUUCUAAUAAUAGAGACUCCUGGUGCUCCCUAGACAUUUUAAUAAUAAAGACACCUGUGCGACCUCAGGCAUUCUAAGAUAGUGAGACCUUGCCUACCUCGGGCAUUCAAAUGAUAAAGACCCGUGUGUGACCGAACUCAUUCUAAGGAUAGAGACACCUGUGUGAACUAAGGCAUUUUAAAAAUAAAGACACCUGGCUGACCCCACACAUCCUAAUGGGAGAGACUAUUGCUCAACUCCAGGCAUUCUAAAGAGUGAGACUCCUGGCUGACCCCAGGCAUUCUAAUAAUAGAGACAACUGGGGGACUUCACCGUUCCAAGGAUAGAGACACCUGGCUGAAUCCAGGCAUUCAAGCAUGAGAGAUUUUUGGCCGAUUCUAGGCAUUCUAAUGAUAGAGAGUCCUGGCUGACCACAGGCAUCCUAAUGAUAGAGACACCU